AUUCUACUGCGCUAUCUUCCCCCGCCCCUAUCUUUUUUAAAUUUUGAAAUAGAAUCUGGCUAAGUAGUUGAAGUGCCCAGGCUGGGUCCAAACUUUCAGCCCUCCUGCCUCAGCCUCUCAGGGUGCUGGCAUCAUAGAAGCGCACCACCAGGAGUAGCUAAGCAUGUUCUUAAAGUGCGGUUCUUUUCACGUCACUGAAACAACAUGCAGGGUGUCCUCACCACCUCCGGUAGUCCAAGCCAUCCCACCCCGUUAGGCCUAGUUCAUGUUUCCCUUCGUCUUGUGCCCCACGACCCCUCCAUGACUCCGCACCCUACACACUGGCUAAGCUUGAAUUUCCCACACACGCCUGCUUCCCUGACUUUGCGCCUCUCACGGUUGCCAGGCCCAGACAAACAGGUUCCAACCCGUGUCGAGGCCACGCUAAGGAAGCCCUGGCCCGCCUGCGCGCUGGCCCUCCUUAGCAGGACAGACCCCAUCCAUGCUUCCCGCCUCACCUGCCCCUGUCUGGGGCUCUAACCUGCCCCAUGAUCUCUGCAGGUAGCUCAGAUCUCAGAAAAUACCCUGUGCCUGACACCCCCCGCAUGUGCGCUAGGGUUCUCCUCCGUUCCCUCCAGACAAGAGGUUUGUCUUCAUCCUCUGAUCCGACCGGAGCUCAGCACUUUCUCUGGCUAAUGAGAUGUCUGUCUUGUUCAACGGCCAGACCCCCCAGGGCCAACAGGGCUUAGGUUGGACCAGAGCGGUCUGGGGCACACGUGGGGUGGGGAUCCGUCCACGGUGGCGUCACUGCCGACUGAGAAACAGAGGCCCCGGCGUGGGACACUCUUACAACCAUUUCUUAGCUACCACUCAGUCAGUGACCACUCAGUUAGUGGCCACUCAGCACGGUGGUGUCUGGUGUCACCCAGGCUCUGCAGUCCUCCGAGCCCCGGCUGCCGGCACCUACCCCAGAACACAGACACAGCUCCGCUAGCCACCACAGCCUGGCCAUUCCAGGAUGGGAAAGGCUCGUAAGGAACUUCCUGCCUCGAGCCUCCAGAGAACUUAGCUUUUGUAAGCUUCCUUCAUGGCCAAGGCCCCCAAGGAAACACUGUCUGAAACCAACCAGAAGGCGUUCUGUAGUUCCCAAGAAGCUAAAUAAAAUGUUCACAGGAGUCACCGUUCCCGUGCCCGAGAGGAACUCCGGGAGCGUGAAAUGCUCCAGAGCCAGAAUCAACAGUGUGACUGUCCUUACUCAUCUGCAUAAACUCCACCUCGGCUUCAUGCAGCCCACGUGUCCACACCAAACUCUCAUCUGAGAUGACCUUGUGUCCUGUUCCCACCGGGGACCUGGCCUGUCCCCUCCUUGCUACGAAGUUCAUGGGGCCACAAUCCUGGGAAAGAAAUGCCUGCGCCCUCCGUGUCAGUGUUGCCCUUUGGCCCCAUGUCCCAGGCUCAUCUGGACAGCAUGGUGACUGUUUUUCUUACUAGAAUUUUUGGACUUCCUUCUAUCUUCCCUUUUGAGACAGGUCAAUGAGAAGACACAUGUGAAAUGGCUUUUAUCAUUUCUGUUUAGAUAAGGUUUAGCUGCGUUGCCCAGGCCACCCCUAAGGAAAUUCCUGGGCUCAAGUGACCCUCCUGUGCUAGCCUCCCAUGCGGCUGGGACUUUAGGCACACGCUGCUGCACUCUCCUCUGAAAUGGUUUCAAAAAGACAAGAAAAAAUUUGAAUGGAACAAUUACUGCUUAUUAAAUGGUACAAAGACGUGCUUAAGCGCCCACAAAGGGUACCAUAUCAUGUGGGACACAGGGCCACCAGGACAGGGACCUGCUCUAGGGAGCUCCUGGUCUGUCACGAGAGGCCAUGAACCAGAUGUCAGCCACGCCUUCGGGUUCCAGGCUGACAAACAUGUCACUUUGACCUGGUGAGUGGCUUCAGGGGGUUGACAAGACCUCACAGGACACAGAGAGAGGAGAGGAAAAUGGGGGUGCACAGUCAUGAGGACAGCAGGGCCACUGGCCACAGCCGUGUGGUCUGGGCAUCGGGCACAGGGGCAUCAGAAUGGCAGUGUGGGUGGAAGGGGCUGAACCCACUUGUAGGCCCCCACAUACCCUGCAGAAUGAUGGAGCUCUGAGGGCUUCUGAGGGGCUGAGGGAAGGAGACAGGAGAGGGAGGGGGAGAGAGAGAGGUCUGUGACACCGAACCUGUGCUCUGGAGGGUGCCACGGACACCCAGCUGAGGGUGUGCCAGCAGGACAUCCGUGGGGGCAUCUGCAACAGGAGCUGAGUGACAGGCCCUUUGACCACACUGCAACCACUCAAGGACUGAAAUUUCUAGAACCGGAGCUGCAAAAAACUCUCCUUGCAGCAACAGGGACAGUGACUAAGACCAGCGGGAUAUGGCUGGCUUGUUGAGCUGGAGGCAGAGCCAGCAAUUGGUCCCCCGCUCACCUUGGGACUGAACUCAGAUCCUGCACAGCUUUGAAGUGUUGCUGCCCCUCAGAGCCAAGAAGACAAAGAGAAAGCUCCAAGCCCAAUGAAGAGAGGCAGGCAGAGCUGGGAUGGGGGCCGCGCCCACUGCUAAGAAAUUCAGCAUGCUUGAAGUUUACGCCACCAGCCCACGACCCACACACAGCACUCAGUGGGCUUUGGUGCGUUGGGGUGGCUGGACCCUCACUACAAAUGUGUUCUUUUGUGCUU